UACGGGGGGGGUAAGCGUUGUUCGGAAUUACUGGGCGUAAAGGGCUCGUAGGCGGCCAACUAAGUCAGACGUGAAAUCCCUCAGCUUAACUGGGGAACUGCGUCUGAUACUGGAUGGCUUGGAUUCGGGAGAGGAAUGCGGAAUUCCAGGUGUAGCGGUGAAAUGCGUAGAUAUCUGGAGGAACACCGAUGGCGAAGGCAGGUCUCUGGGCAUUAACUGACGCUGAGGAGCGAAAGCAUGGGGAGCGAACAGG
rnacentral:rRNA from 1 species